rnacentral:rRNA from 1 species
GACGAACCGUCCUAACGUUGUUCGGAUUCACUGGGCUUAAAGGGCGCGUAGGCGGGCUGCCAAGUCCGGGGUGAAAUCUUUCGGCUCAACCGGAAAAGUGCCUUGGAAACUGGCGGCCUCGAGGGGGGUAGGGGCCUGUGGAACUUCGGGUGGAGCGGUGAAAUGCGUUGAUAUCCGAAGGAACGCCGGUGGCGAAAGCGACGGGCUGGACCCCUUCUGACGCUGAGGCGCGAAAGCCAGGGGAGCAAACGGG